GCUGGAGCAUGCUCACAACCUGCAGGAUCUCCCAUUAUUAAACUGCCUAGUUUGGGGCUUUAAUAUACAGGUUUAAUUAUUGCCAUUGCUAUUAUUCGGCACCGUCGAUGUAUUAAUCUUAUUUUUAUUUUAAAAGGAAGCUGAUCUCAUAAUGAGCUUUUCCCUUCCUUGCUUGAAACAGGUGCUAAUGAAAGAAUGCAAAUAGCAUUGGUUGAUCAGAACACUUCAUAAAGAAGGGAACAAUCACCAAGCCAAACCAGUACAGAAUCUGCCUGCCAUCAGACAGCAAAGUGAUUACCACAAUUUAUCAUCCCUGGAGGAAAAAUACUGAUAUACGUUCUGCAGAUGUUGG
rnacentral:lncRNA from 1 species